UACGGAAGGCAGCAGUGGGGAAUAUUGCACAAUGGGCGAAAGCCUGAUGCAGCUAUGCCGCGUGUAUGAAGAAGGCCUUAGGGUUGUAAAGUACUUUCAUCGGGGAGGAAAAACAAAACUAAUAAUUUUAUUUCUUGACGUUACCCGAAAAAGAAGCACCGGCUAACUCCGUGCCAGCAGCCGCGGUAAUACGGAGGGUGCUAGCGUUAAUCAGAAUUACUGGGCGUAAAGAGCACGUAGGUGGUUUUUUAAGUCAGAUGUGAAAUCCCUGGACUUAACCUAGGAACUGCAUUUUGAAACUGAAAUACUAGAGUAUCGUAGAGGGAGGUAGAAUUCUAGGUGUAGCGGUGAAAUGCGUAGAUAUCUGGAGGAAUACCUGUGGCGAAAGCGGCCUCCUAAACGAAUACUGACACUGAGUGCGAAAGCGUGGGGAGCAAACAGGGAUUAGAUACC
rnacentral:rRNA from 1 species